CAUUCCAGCCUGGGCAACAGAGUGAGACUCUGUCUCAAAAAGAAAAAAAAAACACAGAAACAAAAACAACACCCUGAAAGUGUCUAUUAAGUUUUUAAACAAUACUGGAGGAAGGAGAAGUAGUCUUAUUUAAAGCUCUUCUACAGAGCACCACUAGAGGGCAUUUUGUUCAGAUUGUUUUAACUCACAUUUGACAGAGAGCGGAUCUGAAGCUCAGGUGCCGAUUCUGUCCUGUGGGUCAGCCGUCCUGGGGCCAAGUGUGGUGCUGGCUGAACAGCAGGAACUCCCCCACCCCAAGCCAGUGAAGUCCUGACCGUUCUCUCUGCCUAGACAAGACCUUUUAGGAACCUAGGAUGCCUGGGAGAGCAUGGGUGACAUCCUUCUGAAGGCAGCAAUGAAGAAAAAGGUACACUGUGAAUCAAUUAAAUCCUUGUUGAUUUUA